CAGCCGCCGCGGUAAUACGUAGGUGGCAAGCGUUGUCCGGAAUUAUUGGGCGUAAAGCGCGCGCAGGUGGUUUAAUAAGUCUGAUGUGAAAGCCCACGGCUCAACCGUGGAGGGUCAUUGGAAACUGUUAAACUUGAGUGCAGGAGAGAAAAGUGGAAUUCCUAGUGUAGCGGUGAAAUGCGUAGAGAUUAGGAGGAACACCAGUGGCGAAGGCGGCUUUUUGGCCUGUAACUGACACUGAAGCGCGAAAGCGUGGGGAGCAAACAGGAUUAGAUACCCCAGUAGUCCCUGUCUCUUAUAC
rnacentral:rRNA from 1 species